rnacentral:rRNA from 1 species
CAGAUCAGAAGCGAGAAUGUUGACAUGAGUAGCGACAAAGAGGGUGAGAGACCCUCUCGCCGAAAGUCCAAGGGUUCCUGCUUAAAGCUAAUCUGAGCAGGGUAAGCCGGCCCCUAAGGCGAGGCCGAAAGGCGUAGUCGAUGGGAACAGGGUUAAUAUUCCCUGGCCAGUGGGAAGUGACGGAUCUCGACGGUUGUCUGCCCUUAUCGGAUUGGGUGGGCCGCUUAGAGGUUCCUGGAAAUAGCCCCACAUCAGACCGUACCCUAAACCGACACAGGUGGACUGGUAGAGUAUACCAAGGCGCUUGAGAGAACCACGUUAAAGGAACUCGGCAAAAUGCCUCCGUAAGUUCGCGAGAAGGAGGCCCCAUAUGUACGCAAGUAUGUGUGGGGGGCACAAACUAGGGGGUGGCGACUGUUUACUUAAAACACAGGGCUGUGCGAAGCCGUAAGGCGACGUAUACAGUCUGACGCCUGCCCGGUGCUGGAAGAUUAAGAGGAGGGGUGCAAGCUCUGAAUUGAAGUCCCAGUAAACGGCGGCCGUAACAAUAACGGUCCUAAGGUAGCGAAAUUCCUUGUCGGGUAAGUUCCGACCUGCACGAAUGGCGUAACGAUCUCCCCGCUGUCUCUAACGUGGACUCAGCGAAAUUGAACUGUGUGUCAAGAUUCACACUACCCGCGGUUAGACGGAAAGACCCCAUGAACCUUUACUCUAGCUUUGCAUUGGCAUCAGGAAUGUGAUGUGCAGGAUAGGUGGUAGGCAUUGAAACGGGGACGCCAGUCUUCGUGGAGCCAUCCUUGAGAUACCACCCUUCGCCUUCUUGAUGUCUAACCGCGGCCCGUUAUCCGGGUCCGGGACCGUGCAUGGUGGGGAGUUUGACUGGGGCGGUCGCCUCCCAAAUUGUAACGGAGGCGCGCGAUGGUUGGCUCAGACCGGUCGGAAAUCGGUCGUUGAGUGCAAUGGCAGAAGCCAGCCUGACUGCAAGACUGACAAGUCGAGCAGAGACGAAAGUCGGUCAUAGUGAUCCGGUGGUCCCAAGUGGGAGGGCCAUCGCUCAACGGAUAAAAGGUACUCUGGGGAUAACAGGCUGAUGAUGCCCAAGAGUCCAUAUCGACGGCAUCGUUUGGCACCUCGAUGUCGGCUCAUCUCAUCCUGGGGCUGGAGCAGGUCCCAAGGGUAUGGCUGUUCGCCAUUUAAAGAGGUACGUGAGCUGGGUUUAGAACGUCGUGAGACAGUUCGGUCCCUAUCUGCCGUGGGUGCAGGAGACUUGAGAAGAGUUGACCCUAGUACGAGAGGACCGGGUUGAACGAACCACUGGUGGACCAGUUAUCGUGCCAACGGUAGUGCUGGGUAGCUAUGUUCGGACAGGAUAACCGCUGAAGGCAUCUAAGCGGGAAGCCCCCUUCAAAACAAGGUCUCCCUUGAGAGCCGUGGAAGACGACCACGUCGAUAGGCCAGAGGUGUAAGUGCAGCAAUGCAUUCAGCUGACUGGUACUAAUUGCUC